GUCCAUGAUUAUUGGCUUUUUGGGUCUCACAGGGAAGUCAAGUAGUUGAAGUGUGGUUGGCUAUGGAAGGCAAUGUCUAUCUUAUCAAAUGAUAUAGUGGGAUCUUCAAUAUUAGUUUUUGAAGUUGUUUAAGCAUAUGGAUUGGAUUAUGAACCUCUUUUCUUGCUUUGUAGGGUUUUGUGGUUUUUGUUAUGUUCUAUAGGCCCAUCCAACCUCAUCCAUCAUUCGGUGAAUUCUUCCUUGGAUUUUGAAGUCUUAAAUUUGUCUUUUGACUCUACCUUUCCAUUGUUCCUAUGAUUCUAAGCUUUUUCCUUGAUUUUUUAUUUUUAUGGUCUCACAGGGGCUUCAAGUAGUCGAAGUGUGGUUGGCUAUGGAAGGCCGUGUAUCUUAUCAAAUGAUAUAGUGGGAUCUUUAAAAUUAGUUGUUGUAUUUGGUUGUGCAUAUGGAUUAGAUUAUGAACCUCUUUUCUUGCAUUAUAGGGUUUUGUGGUUUUUUGUUAUGUUCUGCAUGGCCCACUCAAGCUUAUCCAUGAAUGGGUGAUCUCUUCCUUGGAUUUUGAAGAAUUAAUUUUUUCUUUUGAUUCUACCUUUGGUUUGGUAUGAUACUAAACCUUUUCCAUGGUUUCUACUUUGGUUCUCACUGUGGUUUUUUGUUAUGUUCUGCAUGGCCCAUCCAGCCUCAUUCAUCACUUGGCGAUCUAUUCCUUGGAUUUUGAAGCCUUAAAUUUUUCUUUUGAUUCUACCUUUGGUUUGGUACGAUUCUAAACCUUUUCCAUGGUCUCUAAUUUGGGUCUAAGGGGUGUCAAGUAGAUGAACUGUGGUUGGCUAUGGAAGGCAGUGUCUUUCUUAUCAAAUGAUAAGGUUGGAUCUUCAAUGUUAGUUUUUGAAUUUGGUUGUGCAUAUUGAUUGGGUUAUGAACCUCGUUUUUAUUUUUUUGCAUUGUUGGGUAUUGUGGUUUUUUGUUAUGUUCUGCAGGGUCCAUCCAACCUCAUCCAUGAUUUGGUGAUCUCUUCCUUGCAUUUUGUUGUCUUAAAGUUGUCUUUUGAUUCUACUUUUUGUAUGGUUUGGUAUGAUUCUAAACCUUUCCCAUGGUUUGUACUUUGGGUCUUACAGGGAAGCCAAGUAGUCGAAGUGUUGUUGGCUAUGGAAGGCAGUGUCUAUCUUAUCAAAUGGUAUAGUGGGGUCUUAAGUAUUUAGUUUUUGAAUUUGGUGUUGCUUAUCAAUUGGGUUAUAAACCUCUUUUCUUGGAUUGUAGGGUCUUUUUACUUAUUUAUUUAUGUUCUGCAUGGCCCAUCCAACCUCAUCCAUGAUUUGGUGAUUUUUUCGUUGGAUUUUGAGUCUUAAAUUUGUCUUUUGAUUCUACAUUUCCUUUGGUUUGGUAUGAUUCUAAACCUUUUCGAUUAUUUCUGCUUUGGGUCUCGCAGGGAAGUCAAGUAGUCGAAGUGUGGUUGGCUAAGGAAGGCAGUGUCUAUCUUAUCAAAUGAUAUAGCAGGAUCUUUAGUUUUUGAAUUUGGUUGUGCUUUUGGAUUGGAUUAUGGGCCUCUUUUUUUUUUUUUUUUUUUUUUUUGCAUUUAUAGGCUGUUGUUUUUUUUGUGUUCUGCAUGGCUCAUCCAGCCUCAUCCAUGAAUUGGUGAUCUCUUCCUUGGAUUUUGAGUCUUAAAUUUGUCUUUUGAUUCUACCUUUCCUUUGGUUUGGUUUGAUUCUAAACCUUUUCCAUGAUUUCUCUUUGGGUCUCACAGGGAAGUCAAGUAAUUGAAGUGUGGUUGGCUAUGAAAGGCAGUGUCUAUCUUAUCAAAUGAUAUAGUGGAAUCUUCUGUAUUAGUUUUAAAUUUGGUUGUGUAUAUGGAUUGGGUUAUGAAACUCUUUUCUUGCAUUGUAGGAUAUUGUGGUUUUUUGUUAUGUUCUGCAUGGCCUAUCAAACCUUAUCCAGGAUUUGGUGAUCUCGCUUGGAUUUUGAAGUCUUAAAUUUUUCUUUUCAUUCUACCUUUUCUUUGGUCCGGUAUGAUUCUAAACUUUUUUCAUGAUUACUGCUUUGGGUCUCACUGGAUAGUCAAAGUAGUUGAAGUUUGGUUGGCUAUGGAAGGCAGUGUCUAUCUUAUCAAAUGAUUUAGUGAUUUCAACUAUUGAUUGUGAAUUCUUGGAUCUGUCUUUUGUUUCUUAUUUUUAUUAGAUUCAGGAUUUAUUUUUUUUAUUUCUCCCUUUUUUAAUAUUGGGUUUGACAUGGAAGUCUAGUGAAUGCGUGGGGGCUGGCUUUGGAUACCGUGGUUCGUUUUGUAUUUACUUCUCCAUGAAUAUGUUGUCGAAGCAGUGGCAGGAGAGAAUUCAUGGGACGACAAUGUAUACUGUUAGAAUAGUGGAUCAAGCCUAACUCAACCCUAUAAAACCGGUUUGUAAGCACUAUCAAGCUUGGUACGUGGAUAAAUGGUGGGUGGCCUUUUUUAAUGAUCUAGGAUUGGCGGGACUUGGUUUUUCCCAAUACACCCCCUCACACCUAUGAGACAUGCAUCAAUGGGUUGCCUGGCAGUGUCAAUGCGCUCGAGUUCUUCUGUAUUUGAAGAAUCCAUAUAUUUGGAACUCUAGAUUCUAAAUGGGACUGGAAUUAAAUUAUGGGACAUCUUGGUUAGUGUCUGUAUAAUAUAUGCAAAGAUAUUGUCUCGGUUAGUGUCUUAAUAUCUCUUGUUAAAGUAUGAGACAGCUCGGUUAGUGUACUUAUAUAAAGCAAAGUGAUGCAUUUGUUGUGAAUGCAGUGGCAGGAGUGUGUUGACUGGGACGACACUAUGUAAACCCUUAUGUUAGAUCAUCUGCAAUCAUUUUCAGAAUGUUCAAUUCUGCAAAAACCAUCUUCUUUCAUGGGUUUAGGAUAAGGUUGUUUUGUAUGUGUAGGGUAACCUGGGAGUGUCGGAUGGGCUGGAGUUAUUCUGCAUCUGAAGAAUCCAUGUAUCAGAAACUCUAGAUUCUAAAUGGGGCUGGAAUUAAAGUAUAAUACAACUCGGUUAGUGUCUUUAUCUGUUUGUUUGGGGUAUUAUGCCAGUCUGGUUGCAUGACUUUAUAAAAUGGAUAUCCAGUUCAUCAAAGCAAUGCCGGAGCUUAAAUGUUUUUGAAGAAUUAAUAUGAUACCUGUGUUCUCAAAUCAUAUAUAAUGGGGACAGCUUGGUUAGGUCUUCGUCACUUAAUUAUGGGUCUUGGUUUGAAGAAUUAUGCUAUUAUUUCAUUGUUUGAUAAGUUGUAUCAAUCAAUGUGUGUCUUCUCCUUAUUGGAUGUACGUUUCUCAGUUCAGAACAUGCAUUUGGUAUUUGAAGUGUGGAGUGCUAAUAUUCUACUGUAUCCUGAAAUGUAGAAGAAUGUCUUAGAUCUGUGUACUGAUCUGAAUCUUGUUUUGGAGAAGCUUGUGAUUCCAUUUUGAAGCUCACUCUAGGCAUUUAUUGAGAGAUGUAUUGAUUAUAUAUUGUUUAUUUCUAAUUUAAGAAAGUGUGCAUUUUGUUUAUUUUUAA